AGGUUAAAAUAUUAAGGGCACACGAAGGAUGCCUAGGAAGUAAGAGCCGAUGAAGGACGUGGUAAGCUGCGAUAAGCUUGGGGGAGUUGCAAUCGAACUGUGAUGCCAAGAUUUCCAAAUGGAGAAAUCUGCUCAGAUGGAGUCUUAGCACGAAAGAGGGAACCGGGUGAACUGAAACAUCUCAGUAACACGCGGAAAAGAAAGUAAAAACGAUCCCCUAAGUAGCGGCGAGCGAACGGGGGUGAGCCAAACCCGUACAUGUGCCAAGGAUGC
rnacentral:rRNA from 1 species